rnacentral:lncRNA from 1 species
AAAUUAAUUCGUUUUCAUCUUGCCUUCAUCUAAAGUUCACCUGCAAUACAUAAGAAGUGAAUAACUGCUAGCAGAGAAGGCUGUUCUUGUCUGUAACUGACCCACUACCAUCAACCCUGGUUUUGAGCUGCUUGCAGCACCAGCUAUUGGCUGUGUAAAAAAUCUCACAAUGAUGCUAGACUGUUUGACUGAAACAUAUUACAAAGACAAAGCAAUAACUAAUUCUGUGAUCCAGCAACUAUACAUAAUCCCAGUCAUCAGAAACAGUAUUUCUACAAUUGAAAACACAGUUAGUGAUGAACUCGAUGAUCGUUCAAAGAUGAGAAACAAAAUUGUGAAAGCAAUGCUCAUCUCCAAAAUGAUGUACGUAGUUAACGUCAUAAAUUUAAAGAUGAGCCCACAUUAAACAAGAUAGAAGAUAGGAAAGAGAACAAUAUUCGUGUCCAAAGACACCUUCAAGCCUCUUUUACAUUUAGUUGCCUUCUGACUAAAAUACUAUGUACUGAAAAUUUUUUGGAAACACUUCAGAUACAAAUGUGAGAAAUCUUUUACAACUUUAAAUGUGGACAUGAACAGUCUUCAAAAUCUUCUUCAUUCUUUGGAACAGUGUAUCAAAUUGAAUGUGCAAAUGCACAUCAUUGUAAAAUGUGAUAAAAAGGUAACACAAUUAAGCACUUGCUAUUUAAAUAAUUUCCU